CAAUUUGCCGCGGUAUCGUCAUUAGUUAAUCGUAGCCCUCCCCCUAGUUGACGGCAAAGAUUUCCAAUGGCGGUUCCGGAGUUUAGCCUCCUGCGUGCUGCUGGGGAUGAGGCUCUAUGGACCCAACGCACGUGCUCACAUCUGUGUUGGCAUCUGGUAUUUCCUGCUUUCUAUUUGUUGGGCACGUUUCUCUUUGUAUAAUGAUAGGAGGCUUAGUGCCUAUUUAUUAUAAACAUAUGUCUAAUCCUUAAAUUGGUUAGGAUUUUUAAUGCCCAUUUUAAUUCUACGAAAAGGAAGAUAUUACUUAUUUAUGGUUACAUAGUUCUGUCUUAAGUUGGGUCGACGCAGGACGUAACAUAGAACAUAUCCCUGGGGAAAAUCCUCAAGAUCUUUUUUAUCAUAUAUCAAAUUUUGCAAAAUACUAUAACACUUGCCAAACUGGAAAACAACGAAAAGUAACAGAAUCUACAACUUCUUUAUCAAACACAUGAUUAGCACCCACAAAAUAUUAUUCCAAGCCAUAAAAACUAUCUGCAUAAAAGAAGAAGAGAUAGAAAUAUGGUUUUAUAAGGGAAUCAUAUAUUUAAUUUCUAAGGGUAAACAUACUGGUGGGAAAGACUUCAGGUAGAUUACCUGCGUGUCUAACCUCUAUAAGUUGACUAUGAAGUGUAUAACCAAAAUAUUACAAUUUGACGUAGAAAGUCGAGAAUUGUUGGCAGAAAACUAACUAGGUACAGUUAAAAGAGUGUAAAGGGUCAAGAGUAAGCCUUAUUAAAUCUGAUGAUUAAUAAGGAUAAUCAAAAUAUAUUUAAAAUAGUUUGGAUUGAUGUUAAAAAAGUCUAUGACUCUAGAACAUAAAUAUUUAAUUAUCUGCCUGGAAAAAAUAAGUAUGCUAAAUUGAAUUAUAAAAUUUUUAAAAAUGUAUUUAGGAAAUGUAAAACUUUCUAUAAGGAACAAUGGAAAAUAAUUUUUGAAAAAGAAGAUAGAGAGAAUAUACAAGAAGAUAGUCUUUCUCCUUUAUUAUUCAUUCUAUAUUUAGAUCUGUUAAGAGAACUGGAUAGGAAAUACUCAAGUAUUCAUAUGGAUAAUUUGUUAUACUCUAUGAUUAUAUCACCAUUUAUUGUUUAUUGAUGAUUUAAAAAUAUUAGCAUAAGAAGAACAACAUUUAGAAUCUAUGAUAAAUGAAACAAAAAUGUUUUUUGAAUAUGUUGGAUUAGAAAUGAACAAGGAAAAAUCAGUAACUAACUCGAAAAUAAUUGAAGAUAGUGCGACUUGUCUACGUAAACUGAAGGACUUGAGUAUCUUAACAUAACAGAAUCAGUACAAAGUAGGAUAAAUAAGGAAACAAUUGAUUAAGUAAUUAAAGAGUUGAUAAGUUCUGUAAGUCUAAGUUGAACGGCAGAAAUCUUGUAAAAGCGAUUAAUGAGCAUUCGAUCUUACUAAUAAAUUACUAUAUAAGGGUGAUUAAUUUAGAAUUUCUGAUAUAUAGCAAUAUCAAUAAAUAAAUCAGACAGAUUUGAAUAAGGAAUAACAUUCACAGAUAACUUGAAUUUAAAGAAAAGCUGCCCAGAGAUGAACUAGGCAGAGGAUUCAAAAUAUAGAAUUUAAAAGUGAAAUAAUGCUGUUAGAACUAAAAACGCAAUUAAAACAGAGUUCCUAAUCAUUCGAUCAUUAAAAAGAAAAGUAAUUUUAAAAAUAGAUGAGAAAUGUAGUAUUCAUCUAUUCCAUAUAGAAAAGUAUGUUUGGAUUAAAUAUAAAAUAGAAGACAAUAUUUAUUGGAUAACUAUAUAGGAAGAUAAUUACCAAAAAGCAACACAAAAAUCUCUAUAAUGAUAUUAAAAAUAAAACGAAUCACCCGAUGUUAUACAAGCUUAAGAACUCUUCUGCCUUUUCAAUAAAAGGAUCCUUAAUAUGACUAAAGAAGAGCAAUAUUAGAGCCAUGGAAGAAAUAGCGUUAUGCUACAUAUAAGAUAGAAAUAUUUUCAUUGAUGAGAUAUAAAAUUGGAAUCACUGGAGAAGAUGGCAAUAGUGGAACAUCUCGCAAUGAGAUGCAAUAGAAUGUUAUCCUUUGAUUACGCCAGGAGACAUACUAAACUGAUGAGAUGCAUACAUUUACAAUUAUGCUUAAAAUAUGACCUCAAAAAGUUCCAAGAAAAUAAAAAAUCACAGUGCAGGAAAUAUUGAGUACUGAAAGUAGAAUGGAUACAAUAAAGACAAAUGUCAAAACUCAGAACACUAAACCUGACAUAUCCGUCUUUGAUAAUGUAAAAAAGAAUAUAACUUUAAUUGGAGUAGGAAUAACAUUAAUUGGUAGAUAAUUUACAAACAUUGGAAGUAGAAAAGACAAGAAAAUAUGACCUGCUUACUAAUGAAUUAGGUCUGUUGUACAGAUGUAAAAUGUGAAUUAUUCCAUAUGUUAUAACCUAGAAUAGGUUAAUUACAGUAUAUCACAAGAAUUGCGUCAAAGCACUUGACAUCUAACAUUAAGAUAUACAUCCAAGCCCAAGUAAUUAAGAAGACCUUGAAGAAUAUCUCAUUUGACUAUAAACGAGGACUUUAAGAAGGAAGAAAUAAAAUAGAAGAACUAGAGAUGUUGAUGAUUAAAACAUGUUCAAGACAAGAUGUACAAUCGUUAAUUAUAAACUCUACAAAAGAAAAUGGUAACUUCAUUAAGUUUUAUUUUAUUUUUGUGUCCAACUUGAGUUACUAGAAUCAGAUAUAGUAAAUUUCUUUAUAAUUUCAUUAUUUCUAUUAUUAUAAUAUCUAAAUAGUAAUCAGUUUCAUAAUAUCAGUUUAUGGUUACAAUAUGGAAAUUUCUGAUCAUGUAUCAUAAAUUAUAGUUAUGUCUCAUGCCCAACAAUAUUAUUUGGGGUUUAUUAAUAAAAAAGUUUCUAAAAACUUUACAUAAAUUAUUAAGAUCAUUAUAGAAAUUUCAAUGGAACAAGUUAGGUGAAAUAAAAUACAAUAACGAGGAUAAAAAAAUAAUAUAAAUAUGUGAAAUAUAAAUAAGGUGAUUAAAUCGUUAAUAUAAAUGGAACACUUAUACUUCGAAAUAAAGAAAAAUGUCAAAAACAUGCGACAUUGUUUUUAAAAGUGGCUGAAAAAGAACUUUAAUUUAGAUAAAGAUGAUAGAAAACUGUCAUCAAUGAAAGAAUAUUUUAAAAACCUUAUGGAUUUAAAUCAAAUCCCGAAUUUGUUUCAUUAAAAAAGGAAUAACACAGUUAUACUCAUGAAGAUAAUGUUUUAAUAGGUAUACACUGAAUACUGUAGAAACCAUUUGUAUUUUUAUAAUACAAAUAAAUACUAUGAAUAUAAAAUUA